rnacentral:rRNA from 1 species
AAACACGGACCAAGGAGUCUAACAUGUGCGCGAGUCAUUGGGUGGACUCGAAACCUAAAGGCGCAAUGAAAGUGAAGGUUCCGCCUCGUGCGGACCGAGGGAAGAUGGGGCGCGCUUCUGCGCGGCUCCCGCAUUCCCGGGGCGUCUCGUACUCAUUGCGAGUUGAGGCGCACCCAGAGCGUACACGUUGGGACCCGAAAGAUGGUGAACUAUGCCUGGCCAGGACGAAGUCAGGGGAAACCCUGAUGGAGGUCCGUAGCGAUUCUGACGUGCAAAUCGAUCGUCGGAGCUGGGUAUAGGGC